CGCUUAACCCGGACGUACAUAGCCUGUGAAAUAAUUAAUCUACAAAUCAGUCCAAGAGCAGAAAGACCAGAAGACGGAACCAAAAGAAUAUUUAAACAAAUGUUAGCAUAUUGAUUUCCUAAUUCAGUUCACUUACCUUUUAGUCAAAUGAGAAAUUAGAAUUGGAUAUCAAUUAAGAAGAGUGAAAAACAAGAUGUUACAACAAACAAAUACAGCUGAAAAUCCAAAAAAAAGUUAGAACUUGCGUCUGCAUAGAGGGAUAUUGUUGGGACAGAUUGUGAUAUAUGGCUUACUGAUUUAGUACUGGAGGCACAUCCUAUUACAGAAAGAGGCAACCUAACCUUAUAUAGUGUUACGUAGUCGGUUCAUGGAUAUGUCACCUUCAAAUGCAGCAAUGACUCUAGCACCAACCUUCCAAGCUAUAAAACUUUAAGUGACAUCCAAGGUACUCUUGGGCUUCAGCUUACCCUUGCAACAACUAACGUAACACGGAAUUUUACACCAAUCCCUAUAAGUAUUCUGUUUGAAAAUAUUUUCCAUGUUUUGAGUGUGAUUACUUUAUAAAAUAAUAAUAAACUGAUGGUAAUUCUUCUGAUUCUUCCCUUUUCCCUAACUCCCUCUCUCUCUCUCUCUCUCU
rnacentral:misc_RNA from 1 species